GGACCUGACUGCUAUCGGAUUGAUACUAAGCCAUGCGAGUCAUUGUAGCAAUACAAGGCAUACGGCUCAGUAACGCGUAGUCAACCUAACCUAUGGACGGGAAUAACCUCGGGAAACUGAGAAUAAUGCCCGAUAGAACAUUAUGCCUGGAAUGGUUUAUGUUCCAAAUGAUUUAUCGCCGUAGGAUGGGACUGCGGCCUAUCAGUUUGUUGGUGAGGUAAUGGCCCACCAAGACUAUUACAGGUACGGGCUCUGAGAGGAGUAGCCCGGAGAUGGGUACUGAGACACGGACCCAGGCCCUAUGGGGCGCAGCAGGCGAGAAAACUUUGCAAUGUGCGAAAGCACGACAAGGUUAGUCCGAGUGAUUUCUGCUAAAGAGAUCUUUUACCAGUUUUAAAACCACUGGCGAAUAAGGGGUGGGCAAGUUCUGGUGU
rnacentral:rRNA from 1 species